rnacentral:misc_RNA from 1 species
GAUGAAGAACGCAGCGAAAUGCGAUAAGUAAUGUGAAUUGCAGAAUUCCGUGAAUCAUCGAAUCUUUGAACGCAAAUUGCACUCUUCGGUUUUUCCGAGAGUAUGCCUGUUUGAGGGUCGGUAAAAUGAAAUAUCGAUUUGUUGCUUAUUGCAACAUUUCGGAGUUGGGUUAACUUGAUAUUCUCAAGUGACCUAAAAUUCAUUACCUCGGUAUGAUUAACGUUCUUAAAUGAUUUCGUUCUGAGUGCCGAAUUUAUUAGACGUGACUAUUUUAUAGCAUCACUUCUAUAAUUUUUGAUUUUCGACCUCAAAUCAGGUAAGAUUACCCGCUGAACUUAAGCAUAUCAAUAAGCGGAGGA